rnacentral:rRNA from 1 species
UACGAAGGGGGCUAGCGUUGCUCGGAUUUACUGGGCGUAAAGCGCGUGUAGGCGGCUUUGCAAGUCGGGUGUGAAAGCCCUCAGCUCAACUGAGGAAGUGCGCCCGAAACUGCAGAGCUUGAGUACCGGAGAGGAUGGCGGAAUUCCCCAAGUAGAGGUGAAAUUCGUAGAUAUGGGGAGGAACACCGGUGGCGAAGGCGGCCAUCUGGACGGAUACUGACGCUGAGACGCGAAAGCGUGGGGAGCAAACAGG